AUAAUAUAGAAUUCUAUUCGAACGUUAGAAAAUAGAAAGUUCCAGGUUGUUGAUUUCAUCCUCGUUUGCUGUCAUUAAACAAUCAAAGAACCAACAAAACAUAAACACUUUCGACGCAAAAGGUGAGUCUUCUUUGCUUAUACAUGAAACUGUUCCUCCUUUGCAUGUUCUUAAUAUUAAUAAAAUCAUGUAUUGAUUACUGAUCCGCCAAUUGUUUGUUCAAGUGCCCCUGUGAAUAUUGAAUUCCCUCGAUUGUGCUUAAGUUGUUUUGGUCUCCAUAUAAAAACAAAUGCCUCAAGAGUCAAGAAGACUUAAGAGGUUGUUCCCAGAUCCUACAGACUUGCAAAAAAUCUAUGCUAAAUUUGGAGCUUUUCCAAUAUAAAAUCGGUAUUUAAAUCAACCUCAUGUCAUGGAAGGGAGGAUAACAGAAAGUUCAGUUUCUUGGCGGGCUAACCAUAGAACCAGCAUACCACAUUACCACUGUUACAAGUUUUAGCAUUCAAAUUACUUGAACAACCAGCUUCUUUUUCAUGUACGGAAAGAAAUUGGAGUACUUAUUCGCUAAUCCAAACGGUGAAGAGAAACAUGUGUGCAACAUCAAGAAUUGAAGGCUUAGUUUUUUUUUUGGCAUACUAAUCUCCGGGUGCUAUCGCGCAAGGAAGAUGAAUAUGUUAACAGACCUUCAAAAUAUCGGGAUAUUUGUGGAGACAGGUUUGAUCCCGGUGGACAUAUUGGAGAAUUUGCCCAGCUAUCGCUUGAUGAACCAGAAUUUGAAGCCAUGAUACAGGAAAGAGAGGAGGAUGACAUCUAACUUGAUUGAAGAUUAGGUUGCUCUGUCUUGUUGCUUUCAUGUUCUAUCUUUUCGCUUCCAUAAUUGUUGUCAUGCUCUGUUUUGCUUAUUCCGGAUUUGUCUUGAUGCUUAUGGUCCAGAUGAACUUUCCUCCAGAAAACUUUGUUCUGGAUGCUGGAAUGAAUUAUUCUAUGCAUACAGAGGUAUGAAAUAUAGGGUAUCGAGGUGGUGUUAGGAGUAACGUAAGAUGCGCUGCAUUUGUUAGUAAUCAAUCUUUAUGAAGGGAAAAGCAGCUAAAUGACCUUGAAAAGCCUGAUCUCUGGUUGAGUGUUAUGGGCCAAAUUAUACAGAGAUGACAUUGGGCCCAAAAUGAACGAGUCGAGAAAUUUGAGAGCAGCCCACCACUAUCUCUUAAUAAACGAAACAAUCAUGGUAACAAACGGUGGGUAGGAGGAUACCCUCAAUCCUGUAAAGUCUGUGAAUGAUAUCCAACGCUGAUUUUGGGAGACGGGGGGAGGAGAAGGGUCAGGAAUCACAUGGAUGUUGGUCAGGGCCUCAGGAAUCAGGGGUCACUACUCACUGUCCCAUGGUCCUACAUUUGUCAUCUUAUUUUUUCUUAUUAUGAAUUUUUAUACUUUAAAUCUUUCUUUCAUAUUAUCAGCAAUAGCAAGUCUAAUGAUAGAAGCAAAGUGAUCAUGGGGAUGGGGUGUUUGGCUCUUCUGGAUUUAUAAGUAGAAGCAUUUAUCUGUACUGUUUGGGUAAAAAGUGAAUAAGCAUUUAUAAACAGUUAGGAAUGUUAGAUUUUGUUUCA